UGUACGGAGAAGAACUAAAAGGAUUCCCUCAGUAAUGGCGAAUGAGCAGGGAUAAGCUCAGCGUGGAAAUUGGGGCUUGCGGCUUUGAAUUGUAAUAUUGAGAUGUACUGCCAGCGGAGGCGCAGAUGUAAGCCUUGUGGAAAGGAGCACCAACGAGGGUGAGAGUCCUGUUUGGCAUCUGCAGUCCCCCGUGCACAGUGUACCUUCUACGAGUCGCGUUCCUUGGGAUUGGAGCGCUAAGUUGGUGGUAAAUUUCAUCGAAAGCUAAACAUGUGUCUGAGACUGAUAGCGAACAAGUACCAUGAGGGAAAGGUGAAAAGGACUUUGAAAAGAGAGUUAAAAGUGCCUGAAAUUGCUGAGAGGGAAGCGGAUGGAACCAGUGUUUGUUCUUGGCGAGAUUGCUACAUGCUAUAAUGAUUGAUUGCUGCAUCAGCGCAAGCAGCUUGGCAAGUUUUGAACUGCAAGCAUGUUGUGUUUCUUGCGUUGCAUGCCAUCGUGGGUUUGCGCAUUAAGAAAACUUAAAGCACAUGGUACGGUGUUUCCGAACGCAUGAAUGUGCUGUGCUAUAUUUCUGCAUGAACUUUAUCACGAGCGUCGGGCUGCAAUGCUCUUGCGCCCUCGGUCGCCAUGCGCGGAUGUUCCCUAUCUGGCGGCGGGGCGCGCAAGGCAUGUCCUUGACGUUCAUACGAUGACA
rnacentral:rRNA from 1 species